rnacentral:rRNA from 1 species
AGAGUUUGAUCAUGGCUCAGGAUGAACGCUGGCGGCGUGCCUUAGGCAUGCAAGUCGAACGUAAGCUCUUCGGAGCUUGAGUGGCAGACGGGUGAGUAACGCGUAGGAAUCUACCCUUUGGUGGGGAACAACUGGUCGAAAGAUUAGUUAAUACCGCAUAACAUCGCAAGAUAAAAGAACGUAACUGUUCGCCGAUGGAGGAGCCUGCGUCCUAUCAGCUUGUUGGUGAGGUAAUGGCUCACCAAGGCUAUGACGGGUAGGGGGUGUGAGAGCAUGGCCCCCCACAAGAACACUGAGACACGGGUUCUACACCUACGGGUGGCAGCAACCGGGAAUAUUGCGCAAUGGAGGAAACUCUGACGCAGCGACGCCGCGUGUGGGAUGACGGCCUUCGGGUCGUAAACCACUGUGGAGAGGGAAGAAGUUCUGACGGUACCUCUCUAGAAAGCACCUGCUAACUACGUGCCAGAAGCCUCGGUAAUACGUAGGGUGCAAGCGUUAUCCGGAUUUACUGGGCGUAAAGGGUUCGUAGGCGGUUAAGUAAGUGACGGGUCAAAGCCCCUGGCUCAACUAGGGAACGGCUCGCCAAACUGCUUAACUAGAGUAGGUUCGGGGAUGUUGGAAUUCUCGGUGGAGGAGUGAAACCCGUUGAUAUCGAGAGGAACGCCAAGGGCGAAGGCAGACAUCUAGGACCAUACUGACGCUCAUGAACGAAAGCUAGGGUAGCAAACUGGAUUAGAGACCCAGGUAGUCCUAGCCGUAAACGCUGAACACUAGCUGGCUGGAAAUUUUUAUUUCUGGCUGGCGCAAGCUAACGCGUUAAGUGUUCCGCCUGGGGAGUACGGUCGCAAGGCUAAAACUCAAAGGAAUUGACGGGGAAACGUACAACCGGCGUUCCAUGUGGUUUAAUUCGAUACAAAACGAAGGACCUUACCUAGGUUUGACAUGCACCUGCAAGCUCCCGAAACGGAGUCGCCUUCGAGGGUGGUGCACAGCUGCUGCAUGGUUGUCGUCAGUUCGUGUCGUGAGGCGUCCGCUUAAGUGCGGUAACGAACGCAACCCCUAUCGUAUGUUAAAUAUUCAUGCGAAACUGCCCUGGUACAAUCAGGGAGGAAGGAGGGGACGACGUCAAAUCAGCAUGGCGCUUAUAUCUAGGGCCACACACAUGGGGUAAUGGGAGGUACAACGGGUCGCGACAGGGUAACCUUGAGCUAAUCCUUUAAAGCCUUCCUCAGUUCGGAUUGUGGGCUGCAACUCGCCCACAUGAAGGGGAGUCGGUAGUAAUCGCAGGUCAGCUAAACUGCGGUGAAUACGUUCUCGUUUCUUGUCCACACUGCCCGUCAAGUCAACAAAGUCAGCAGUGCCCGAAGUCGGUACCCCUUACGGGGUCGCUUAAGGCAAGGUUGGCGAUGGGGGCUAAGUCGUAACAAGGUA